rnacentral:piRNA from 1 species
UAUUAGACUGGCUUCCUUACUGGAAGAA